rnacentral:rRNA from 1 species
CAGCCGCCGCGGUAAUACGAAGGUCCCGAGCGUUGUUCGGAAUCACUGGGCGUAAAGGGAGCGUAGGCGGCGUGGUAAGUCAGAUGUGAAAUCCCGGGGCUCAACCCCGGAACUGCAUCCGAUACUGCCAUGCUAGAGGAUUGGAGAGGUAGCUGGAAUUCUUGGUGUAGCAGUGAAAUGCGUGGAGAUCAAGAGGAACACUCGUGGCGAAAGCGAGCCACUGGACAAUAACUGACGCUGAGGCUCGAAGGCCUGGGUAGCGAAAGGGAUUAGAUACCCCCAGUAGUCCCUGUCUCUUAUU